GGAGAGAGGCAGUGCCUCCUCCCCUCUCUCUCACACUCGUUCUUGUUCAGUUCCCAGAAACGAAAACAACAACAAAAAGAGAUCCUCUCAUCGCGAUUCUCUCCCUCCCCCUGUUUGCGCGAUCAACAACAACAACGAAAUAGCACAACGGCAACAAUCAAAGCAAUAAAGUCCUUAUCCCAAAUGAAACCCUAAACCCCAAUUUUAUUACGAUUCACAGUUACAGAUACAUGAUACGAGUUCGAUCGGAAAUCAGAAAAUAUGAAAUAGAAGAACUCAGGGACUUGUCUUGCCAUUUUUGUGCAAGUUUUGGACAGUUAUGUGCAGCAGCAAGAAGCAGGUUUCUUGGAGUGUUAUGGCAUGGUGGAGAGGUAGCAGCAUGGCAUAGCAGGGACACGUGAAGACAAGAAAUUUGUAUUAUUUUGGUCUUUUCCGCUGAUGCAAAUACACUGAUGUAAAUGCAAAUGCAAAUUGAUGCAAAAAAACACUUUGGGCUGUAACUUAAUAAUUUUUGGUACAUCUUUGUAAAUUGGAGUUUUUUUGGACUGAUU